GUGCUCACCUCAGCAGCACAUAUACUAAAAUUGGAAUAAUACAGAGAAGAUUAGCAGUGUCUGUGCAGGAAUGACACGCAAAACUGUGAAGCAUUAGAUAUUUUA